GCUCUCUCCCACUUGGAUUUGAAAUGUUGCCACAUUUAUAAUAUGUCUUUUCUACUGUAAUUUUCUGCAUUUUCGUGCAGCUGAAGAUUGCUCUUCAUAUUGCAUUUAAUGUAAUGCUCGCAUUACUUAAAUAAAUUGGAGUAGCAUGAAACGUGCGUACUGCAAUCACCUUUGAAAUCUGUGUUGCUUAUUUUUAUAUAUAUAUAUAUAUAUAUACAGAGAGAGAGAGAGAGACAGAGAGAGACAGAGACAGAGAGAGUAAGAGAUAAAUACAUAGAUAGAUUCAUACAUACAUACAUAUACAUAUAUAAAUACAUAACUACAUGCAUACAUGCAUGCAUACAUACAUACAUACAUACAUACAUACAUACAUAUAUACUUACAUACAUACGCAUGUGUAGCAAAAUGCAGAACAUAAAAUUCAUUACACUAAACUCUGACGUGUCAAAAAGAUAAUAAAGUGAAAAAUAUGAGAAAACGUCUGUCUUAAUAACAAACCUGGAGCACACUGGAGUUGACGAAUGUGCUUAACGAAUUCCAGUGAAAACGUGUGACGUUGUUUAUCCAACAACAGCAAUCUCCAGUUAGCUUACCGCACACUUCAAGAUUUUCAAACCACAGUCCUACUCAACACAUAAUAGAUUUACAUUAAAAAUCAGGAGUGGACAGCAAUUUUAUAGCAAACAGUUUUCCCUCAAGAUUUAGCAAAGUAAUGAUUGUAAGACCACUAUCUAAAUAUGACAACACACGACAUGAAUUAGUCGCGAACGAAAUUAAACACACGACUGUUGAAGCAAAAAUGUAUAAACGUAAUGCACAAAUUUCCUGUUCGAGGUGAAAGGCUUACGUCGAUAAAGAAUCAGCAACUCUCACAAUCAGCACUGUAUACAGACUUUGAGACUAUGAAUAAACAUCACGAAACGGUGAUAACUGAUUUGCAAACAUUAAUGUUCGUAGGAAACUGUAAAAAUACCAAAUGAAAACUUGGGCAAGGAAAUUACUUCAACUCACGUACAACGUCCAACAGCAAGGAGAUUUCAAUAGAGCAACUUUGAAGAAUUGCAUGUGUUUUUAUGCAUGCUACAAAAAGUGAUUCUUCGAAACAUUUACAUAAAAUGAAAUUGAAUUAUAUAGACCUCAAAACUUCAUUACGGGUAUUGAUGUUCCGUCAUAAAUGUGGAUGAUGGAUAGAUGUAAUUGCUGUUUCGGCAAAUGUGGAUGACGGGAUAGAUGAAUUGAAAACGCUGAAGACGUUAUCGUGAAUACAAAUAUAGUGCAGUCAGAGUUUAUCUCUUUCUUCCACUCAAUUUCAAUCAGAAUGUACGAGUUGAGAUGGGGAUGAAUAAAUUCCUGUUUACCUUAGAUGCCACACUGUUGGAGUGGAACUAGAACCUCGUGAUUGGAAAUUGAACUUAUUCCCCAUUCAGCCAACUGCAUUUACGGACUGAAAUUAUAGCUGCAAUUAAAAGUGGAGAUUGCAUCAAAAACAUUAACAAGAAUUCCCAUCGGCGAUUUAAGCAUUUUUCUUCCACUACAAAUUCCACAUUAUGUAUUUUUAUUAGAUCAAAUGCAGCCAAGUAUGAGCGAGAUUGCUGAAAAAAUCUUAAUUACUUCACAGAGUAAUUCUUAGAAGAGCAGCUGUCCUCGGUGGCUAUCACACAAUCCUGCUAUUUUGAAAUACGCAAUAUCAUCAAGUGAACAAUGCUGUAGCGUAUGUUGUGACGGGUUUAUGUUAACGUCAAUUUUUGUUUAAAAAUGUAUUCCGUAACCAGGUCAGGGCUAGUUCUCUCGUUACGGUAAUCCUUCGACUAUCGCUGCUGUUACGUUCCAAAACACCGCGUGAUAGGUGAAAUUCUUCGCUGUAGAAACAGCAGUAUACUGUAUAUUAUUUUUUUUAUUUGUAUAAUUUGUAUAUAUUUAUUUUAUUACAAAUGCAAAAUAACACCACGGAGGAAUCGACGUAAGCCUAAGUAAUAAAUCGUGAUAGGUGAACCGUGAUAUGGCGAGGGAUUACUGUGUUGAUAUAUUUUGAAGGCUAAAUAUUCAGGUCCCUGCCUGGAAUCGACCUCGGAAUCUUGGAGUUAGUAGCUCGCGCUCUUAACCAAUAAUAAUAAUAAUAAUAAUAGCAUCAAAAUUUACCUCAGGAAUGAGAACACAGGUUCAAAAUUUUCCCAAAAGACCUGAUGAAUGUUGGAGGGUAUAGCAGCCGAAACGUUGUGUUAACAACAAACAAGAUGAGGACAAAUGUAAAUAAUGUAAAUAAUAUACAAAAUUCCUCAUCUCUUAAAUAUAGAACUGCAUUGUCGUUUUGGUUUGUCAUUUCACAGAAGUUUUAAAUAGUAUUUUCAUCGAUUAUAGAGGCAGAUUAUCUGCUACUAAGGAAUUAGCGCUCAUAUUGCUGUAUAGUACUCGCUGACAUAGAGUUGCAAGUUGGAUUGAAGCAUUACUUAGAUUCAAUUUAUCGUUAGUACAGUUUGACAACGUUAUUGUCCGUAAUUAUGAAAUUAGUCACAGAAAUUUUUAAAAAAAUUUAUUUUAUGGCUUUGUAGCUAGAUAAUACUUUCUUUCCUUUAACCCUCCAACGCGCAGUAUAGGCCACUUAUAAUUGAAUUCCAUGUCGCAUAAUUUUUCGCUUCUGUACUUAUACUCUGCCAUGAAUGUCCCCCUUUCUCUAGUUCCUUUCGUGUUGAUCUACGCCACGAGUUCUUAGGCCUACCCCUCUUUCUACAUCCAUCCGGAUUCUACUGUAAAGCAGUUUUCGCUACAUUUGGUGUGUAUUUUCUAGUUGUGCUUCCAAUCCACUUCCACUUUUUCUUAAGUAUUUGCACCCUAAUCGAAACUUGAUUAUGUUGCCACAAUAUUCCCGCAGAAUCACUCGAGUGAUUGAGUUGGAAAUGGUUGGACAAUCUAUGGCGUAUUUAUUCUUUACAGAUAGAGGAUAUGCUUCAGCUUAUUGCAUCAUAGAUAUUAAUAUGUCCAAUGGUUGUAUAGUCCUCCAUUACAGCGAAAAACAUUAUAAAAUGUUCCUAUCCGUAUUGUUCAAGCAUAAGAUCAGAAAUGCAUCGAAUUCUUAUAUAGAAAUUAACUUCAGAUAUAUUUCCAAAGUAAUAGCAGAGAGGUAUAGAUGUGAACUUAACAAAAAUUGUAUGUUUUGAACUGAAGUGGAUACAACAAUGAAAAUUAUAAUUGAUUAUUUUUUAAAAAAAGCACUAUUUCAGGAGAGGAUUUGUUUUUUUCGCCUAAACCUGGAGUUCCUAUAAAAAAAAUUUAUUUAAUUCGGAUAAUGCGAUUCUGAAAAGAAUAUGCUUCUAUUUAAAAAAGAAAUUGCCUGAGUAGGUGCAGAUAAAUAUCUGCAAACAGUAAUCGAAAGUAAAUUGAUUGCACAAUUCACGGAAAGAUAAAAUUGUACUUAAAUAUGGGCGAAUUAAGAUUAGUGCAUGAGCAGGGCCUUGCGUUAUCCAAACAAUUGAAAACAGAUGACUGAGGAAAUUUCAUUAUACAAAAAGAAAACAAAAAAUGUAAUCACUCUUUUUAUAAACAAGAUGAUCUCAUCAAAUAAAUGUUAAUGCACAUUUAAAGGAAAAUAGAAAGAAAAGUUGUUAUGUAAACAAAGAAUAAUGAUACAAAUACGCUAUAAAAUAUCGUAUAUUAUUCAGGAGAAAUAUCUUAUUGGUACAGAGUCGUCCCAAAAAAUGUGUACGGUAUAUCUGUUACGUUUGAGAAGCACAAUGUUGUAAGAAUAUAUACAUUUAAAGGUUUUUAUCCUGCAUGACAAAAACACCCCACACACUUAUUUAUAAGCUUACGUGUCGAACGUAUGCAUACAGGUACGUUUGAAACCGUUUCAUGAACACGGAACUUCUUGAGGCUAUCUACAUUAAUUGUAACUUACUUUUGUCACACUUGCUGAAGUAGUAUAUGAAAUUGUAAAGUAAAACUUUUUAUAAGGAAUCAUUGUCAAGUUUCCUAUUUCCAAAGGUUAACAAUAAUAAACUGCAAUUAUGACAGGACAGGUCAUUCAAUGGUUUGAAUCAUCCUAUCGACCACAGAUUUUACUUCAGACUAGAAAGUAUUGUAUUGAUCGCUGUGUAUCGAAUCACUUGAACAGCUUAAUACAAAGACACAGCACGGUGAAUCAUAUAUAUGUACAGACAUGUCAAGAGUAAAUGGAAACUGAUUUCCGAAAAUGCUUCCUAUAAACCUUAGCGUCUUGUGAUCAAUAUCAGUGUACCAAUGUUACAUGGAGUAUAUUUGUGAGGCAAUUUCUGAGAAUAACGUGUACGAUUCAAAUCGAAAUUAUCAUCAUUACGUACACGGGAUUAUACUCGGACUUUUUACUUUUCUUGUUACUAGAUUAAGCACACAAGUUUUUGUAUGUGUAUUUCUAAACGUAAGAUACUUGUUAAUAAAUUUGCCAUAGUUUUAAUGCUUGUGGAAAAAUCUUUCAUCUUUCAUGUAAACGGUUUCCUUUCUGUUAUUCAAUAGUGAAAGACCAUUUGCAGUCGAUAAUAAAAUCUAUUCUAUUUCAUACCAAAAUAUAUGGCUUUUCCAUACUGAGUAAAUUGCUUGUGGUGGUGUUGUAUAUGAAUGGGAUUAGCUUUGCGCUGACACAGAGCAUCUGGUGUAUUAUUGUCAGUACAAACAUUGAAAAGGCUUGCAUUGAGCAAUUGCAGUGACUUUGGCUGAGAUAAUAUUAUAUUCCUAUACGUACAUCUAUCUCAUACUUUUUAAUUGAGGUUAACGCUUAGCAGAACUUGUGAUUUAUGAAGUAAAAACUUUGACAGGAGCUGGCUAAAGAUUGCGGUUCUUCCUAUCACUUUCUUUAUGACUGGUUCCUGAUUUUAUAUCUUACUUGUAGCUGAGCGGAGAUGAUUCGUUUUUAUUGUGAAGUCUAGUGUGUUAUUAUCGUUUACAUUGUGUUGGCAGCUUCACUUGUAUUUCCAUUCUUGUCGCUUUUGACUAAUGUAUAUGUUUCUGAAAACUGUGACAUACACAGAUUGCUGUAGUGUAAAUUUUGUUUUGUUGUACUCUGAGCAAAAAUGUAGAUGUGAUAUGAUUCUUUUAUCAUAUAUUUGUUAAUAUUGAAAUAUUCCCCUUCUGUAUUUAGUUAUAAAAACGUAGAGAGGACUAAAACGUUAUACAGUUUGAACAACUUUAACAUUUGAUAAAAGAUUGCAGAUUCGCGAAUCACUACCCUACGCAGAUGAUCAUAUAACAUUAAAGUAUCCAAUAUAUAAGAUGUCCGAAAGCAAUAUAAUGGAGGCAGUAAUAUUGGAGAACAGAGUGUUAUCUGGAAUGUCCAUCAGAAGUUUGAAAUUUAGAGUAAUAUGAUAAACUGUAGUGAUAUCAGAAAUGUCUCUAAGUAGUUUAAAAUUCAAGAGAAAAUUAGAGUGUCAGACUUCUACUAAUAAAUAUUUAAGUAUAGUUCCGUUGUGGCAUAGGGAAACUGUGAUGGAAACAAACAGAGUUGAAAUAUAAUAGAAUAUAGGAUUGUAAAUAACACUGAGUUCUUGAAUGAAUAGUUCUGUUAUCAUAAUUAGGAGGGAGACACAAUAUGUGAUGUGGUUUACUGAAUAGAUCAGUAUCGAUGCAUGAAUCCCGUGUUGGUGUGAAAUUCGUGUUUUCCAGUCAGACAUUGCUGAAUUGAAACGACAUUAUUCAGUUACAGUUUAGAUAUUAUUCUACUUUUCUUAAAAAUCAUGUUUUUUUUUUAAUAUAUAAUUAUAUGUUCAGAACAGAAAUCUAUAAUAAUAUGAGGAAUUUCCAUUAGGUUUAAAACGCGGUGUAUAUUUAGCUGUGUUUAAAUCUUCAGUAGCGUUUUAUGAAUUUAAGAUAUAUGAAUUUUGGUGAUGGUUAUCAAAAUGUGGUUUAAGCAUAUUUCAAAAGAAUUCUUUAAUAAUUUUCCAAACUGUCUAAUGUCAAAAUGUUCAUUAAAUAUCAUCAUUUCAAUAAGUACUGCCUAAAGGUCUUGAAGGAUGCUUGUAUCAAUGACACAAUUCAUAUCUAGCACGAAAAUACUUUUUAUUCUUCACCUUUCUUUGGCUAUUAAAAUGGUGACAUCACUAGGAUUUAUGAAAAUACACAAUUUAAUUGUUCUAGUUAAUUUUCAUAAGCAUUUGCCUCACUCGUCUUCUAUAAGCAUGCUUUAAGCCUUUCCUAUGUAUGUCAGUAUAUCUCUUUAAUUUAAGGUUAUUACCGUUUUCGAGACAACUCAACCUUAGUAAUAUUUAUUUAGAAUAACUUACGCCAUUUAUCUAAUAUUUAUCCAGAAUGCAAUAUUCGAAACUGUAUAUCGAUAGGCAAUAUAAAUUUAUCACGGCUAAUUUAUUAUUCGUUUGGAGGCAAAUUCUGUUUAUCAUUUUAUUAUUACUUGGUAUAACCUAAGCAUGUCGUUAGAUUUACCAUCUCUAAUCAUUAAGCGCCUAUGUCAUUUCAUAUUCUGAAUAUAAUCUUAUAUAGUUUUAAUAAAUUCCCUCCUACUUUCUC